rnacentral:rRNA from 1 species
GGGGAAUCUUCCGCAAUGGGCGCAAGCCUGAUGGAGCAACGCCGCGUGAGUGAAGACGGUCUUCGGAUUGUAAAGCUCUGUCCUUAGGGAAGAACCGUGGAUGUAGUUAAUGACAUCCAUCUGACGGUACCUUUGGAGGAAGCACUGGCUAACUACGUGCCAGCAGCCGCGGUAAUACGUAGAGUGCAAGCGUUGUCCGGAAUUAUUGGGCGUAAUGGGUACGCAGGCGGAUAAUCAAGUCAAGCGUGAAAGGUGUCGGCUUAACCGACAGACUGCGUUUGAAACUGGUUAUCUUGAGUGUAACAGAGGAGAGUGGAAUUCCUAGUGUAGUGGUGAAAUACGUAGAUAUUAGGAAGAACACCAGUGGCGAAGGCGACUCUCUGGGUUAACACUGACGCUGAGGUACGAAAGCUGGGGGAGCGAAAGGGAUUAGAUACCCCUGUAGUC